rnacentral:tRNA from 1 species
GUCGAGGUGGCCCAGUCUGGAAGAGGCGCCCGGUGUAAACCGGGAGGUCGCAGGUUCGAAUCCUGUCCUCGACA